rnacentral:rRNA from 1 species
UACGUAGGGUGCGAGCGUUAAUCGGAAUUACUGGGCGUAAAGCGUGCGCAGGCGGUUUUGUAAGACAGGUGUGAAAUCCCCGGGCUUAACCUGGGAAUUGCGCUUGUGACUGCAAGACUCGAGUACGGCAGAGGGGGGUAGAAUUCCACGUGUAGCAGUGAAAUGCGUAGGGAUGUGGAGGAAUACCGAUGGCGAAGGCAGCCCCCUGGGUCGAUACUGACGCUCAUGCACGAAAGCGUGGGGAGCAAACAGG